UAUGUGAUCGUCUCCGCAUAUCAAUAAGCGGAGGAAAAGAAACUAACAAGGAUUCCCCUAGUAACGGCGAGUGAAGCGGGAAGGGCUCAAAUUUGAAAUCUUAAAGGGUUUCCCUUUACGAAUUGUAGUUUAAAGAAGUGUUUUCUGUUGAGGUUUUGGUAAAAGUUCUUUGGAAUAGGACAUCAUAGAGGGUGAGAAUCCCGUAUUUGACCUUUACUUUCAACUUUGUGAUACACUUUCAAAGAGUCGGAUUGUUUGGGAAUGCAGUCCAAAAUGGGUGGUAAAUUUCAUCUAAAGCUAAAUAUUGGCGAGAGACCGAUAGCGAACAAGUACCGUGAGGGAAAGAUGAAAAGAACUUUGAAAAGAGAGUUAAACAGUACGUGAAAUUGUCAAAAGAGAAGCGUUUGACACCAGUGUUGUUUUUCUGAAAAUCAAUUAAAGAACUGUUUAUGCUAAGUUGUUUAGACUUUAUCAGCUAACUGUUUAGUUUUGAGCUUUUCUUUAAUGCACUUUUCAGUUAACAAGUCAACAUCAAUUUCUUUUGCUGUAAAAAAGCUUGAGGAAGGUGGCUUGAGAUUCGUCUUAAGUGUUUAUAGCCUCUUGCCUAUGCAGUCGGAGAGAUUGAGGUCUGCAGCGUAGAUCCUUCGGGGCUAAAUGCAUUUGUGCUAAGUUAUAGCAUUUUAUAGACAACUUGUUGACUAUGAUUUGUCUUGUAGCUUACUCGCUUAUGUUAUUUUACCUACGCUUAGGAUGUUGAUCUGUAGUGCGUGCGC
rnacentral:rRNA from 1 species